CGCACGGGUGAGUAACACGUAUCCAACCUGCCGUCUACUCUUGGACAGCCUUCUGAAAGGAAGAUUAAUACAAGAUGGCAUCAUGAGUCCGCAUGUUCACAUGAUUAAGGGUAUUCCGGUGGACGAUGGGGAUGCGUUCCAUUAGAUAGUAGGCGGGGUAACGGCCCACCUAGUCUUCGAUGGAUAGGGGUUCUGAGAGGAAGGUCCCCCACAUUGGAACUGAGACACGGUCCAA
rnacentral:rRNA from 1 species